ACAAACUAAACUUCGGUUGAGUAAUGGGGAGGAGGGGGGUGCAGAUACACAAUCCCUGCCCUAUCUCGCUAUCGGGAAACGAGAGGGCUCAUAAGGACGCCCCAAUUCGGGAGCGCCCUGGAGUCUGGAGAGCUACACAGUCGGUUCGCGCGAAGUGGGCAUCAAUCUUCUGAAUAGAGUUUCGGGUCCUCUAGACCCUACUGCGCUCCCCCAUGACUCUUUCUUUAGUGGGUUUUUUCUUUUUUGUCUUUUUUAUCCUUUUUAAUCUAAAUAUUUUGUGUGAGGGUGAAUGUUUCUGUUUUUCUCCUACCGACUAAUUUUAUUCUUGGUUAACUUCUCCUUUCUCCUCCUUGCUCGCCCUCUCUUCACCUUUUCAUUUCUCCCUAUUUUUUCCUCUCUUUUGCCCUCGCUCGGUUACACACACACACGCACGCGCGCACACACACGCCCCCUCUCUACCUCGCUCUCCCUUUCUCCCCAGGUCCUGUUGGUUACCGUAGAUUUUGAUAAAAAGACAAACGAAGCCAUCAGUGGCGCUGAUGUUGAAGAAUGAAGAUAAUAAUGUUUCCAUAGGUGGUGCUUCAAAUGCCAUUAUUUCUCACUGAAUAUUUAAAGAGAUCCCUCGGCAAAGAUGAAUCUGCGUGCUCCUGGGGUGCGAGCCGCUCGCUUUCCUCCAGACCCCCGGGAAAGUGUGCAGGAGCACGUGUAAAACCAACCCCCCCACUCCGCAAACUGUGGUCCUCACAAACACCCCAGCCCACCCUCUCUCAGAGGGUGCACUUGCACGUUCGUUUCUCCGCUUACGCCCGCGUUUGGAGCCGCCCGCCUAACAAUCUUGGCUUCUUGAAAGUCCGGGCCUCCCGGGCACCGUGUGCUGCCGGGAACCGAGCCUAGCUGGCUGUCCCGCAAACCCUUCCUCCCGGUACGCAGCGCGUACGCAGGGAGAAGCUCCCGGGCAGAGCUUCACACGUGUUCGUUACUUGCUGUGUUGCUGUGUGUGUGAUUAAGGACGGGGGGGGGAGCUUUCGCCCCCCACCAAAACACCGAAACAAACAACCAAACGAAAUGCGCACGCAAAAUCAGCUUCGCGAUGUUUCAUUAAAAAUGGGCGAGCAGAGACGAAUUAAUUGGGAGAUCCAAACUUUAAUAACUUUUUUCGUUUUUUCGCGUCCUCGAAAGCAUAGAGGGGCGCGUCUGGCUCCGUGCGCAGCGUCCCCGGCUAAUUUCUUGUUUGUUUUCUUUCCUUCUGUGGCCCGAAGAGAAGAGAGAGGAGGUGGAGGAGGGGGGAUGGGAGGAGGGGGAUGGUCGGAAUGGCGGAGAGAGGAGAAUUGGUCUUUAUUGUUGAUGGCAAUACAUCAAUUACGGGCCAUUGUCUCCGGCCGGAGUUCCGUGGUUCGCAGACGCGGGCGCCGCACUGUCAGCGCGCUCCGGUGAGGCUUCGUGUGCCGCAAGGCAAAGAAAUAAUUAAAUUAAUAAAAAUGGAGACCGAGUGGGGGUUGAUCUGUACUUUUGAGGGGGUAGAAAGAAGGCAGCGAGUGCGAGCGAGGUGCCGAAGCCGGAGCCCAUCCCCACGCCCUGUUCACCCAAGAGACCAGCGCGCUCUACGGGGGGUCGCAGGUCGCCGCCUUGGGUGGGGCAACUGCUGUGCGGGGGAGGGAGAUUCGGGCUAACGGGGCUCGGACUAGCCGAUCCCACCAAGGCCUGAAAUGGGGGUGGCCUGAAGUGAGGCAGAGGCUGCGCCGGGGUCGUGACCUCGUGGGCCAACGGGAACCGCAUGCACCGGGGGAGGCGCUUGGCUUGUCUCGCAAACUCCCAUUUGGGGGGCUUGAUGCCUGUGUUUCUGCUAAUACAUCCCCUCAGUUUUCCCAGGACCUACUGCGUCCACGGUGGGUUUGGCCGGACUGAAGGGCUGUGACCCAAGGCCGCGGGCCACAACUGAGUUCCCAGUGAAGGGGUUUCCCAGCCUCUCCGCUUCAUCUCCUCAUCCUCGGAAGGGGAUAGCGUGUUGAGCUUCCUUUUCUCAAGGCCUGGUUCUUGAACCCUCAACAACAUCUUAUCCUGACCCAGUCUGACCCGGAUUUGGGAUGGAGCCUGGAAUGAGGCCUGGCCUGGGCCCGGGACCCUCCUUCUCUUUCCUCCGGUGCUCUACCCUCGAACUUAAGGUCGCCCCCAAGGGCCCUGCCCGAACCCCUGAUUCCUCAGCCCCCCCAGCCCCAGGCCCUGCUAGCCCCGCAUCUGGAGGCCGAGAGGGCAGGGGAGGAGGUUUCGUUUUCUUGUGCCAGGCAGAAAGCGGUAAAAAGGCGGCAGCGGCGUCCCGCGGGCAGGGGCGGGGGUGGAGGCACGCCGCCGAUGGUAUCAGCAUUAUUGAUGGGGAAAUAUUAGGGGCAGGAGCCCGGCGAUCAGGUUCCCAGUCCCUCCCCUAUCCGGAGGUGGGAGGGACGGAGUGGGUGGUGGUGGCGGUGGCGGUGGCGGUGGCAUGUGUUGGGAUGCGGGAGGCCGAAUGCACCCGCAUUAACCACUUCUGAGGUUUAUUUAUAUUCUUCUCGUCUGAAAGUUGAGGUGGGGGCGGGGGGAGGGAGGAAAGAUUGACUUGGCUAUUACCCUAGCCCUUAAGCUCUUUCCCAGGGUCGCGACCAGAGUCGUGGGAGGAGGGGGAGGGGACAGGAAAAAUGAUUAAAAAGCAAAGACCAAGUUUGGAAAGCCCACCGUAGGCUGGCUUAUUUUCCCAGCCCCGGUACUCCGCUUCCCCGAGAGUUUCAGAAACUCCUUCCUUAACCGAACCGCUGUCGCUCAAAUCCUAACCGCUCCUCGGCCACUGCAGAGGCUUCGAACCCGAGGCCUGGGGGAGCAGGCUCAGGUGGGUAACCCUGGCCCCUGCGGAGCCUGUGCUGUGAGCGCUUUGCGCACUGGCUCCCCUGCAGCCAAGUCCCGGUGGCGGCGAAAAGGCGCACUUUCGGGGGGAACCCGCCGCCCGCAGCCAAGGGCUAUCUCCAGACCGGCGCCGGGUGCAGCGCGGGGACCAGGCGCCCAGGCGCCGGCUCCGGCGGGAAAUUCAGCCGUGGCGAGCGGAGGGCGGGCUCGGUAACCAGCCGCUCGCAUCCCAGCCACGGGUCCCACACUGCUGGCAAACUUGGUCUUUCUUCUCUGCAGGGCCGUCCCCACACGGGCAUUUAGAAACCGACUUCGCCGGCGAUCGCAAGUGCCUGUGAUUUUUUUUUUUUUUUUUUUUACUUUCCCUCUGCAUUGAGCGUCUUGCACUUAAAUUCACAGCGCCUCGCAUGCAACAGUGCCUCGCUAAGGGGUCUCUGGGUAUAAAAUUCCUCCCAAAGGAAAUGUCUUGAGGUAGAGAAAGUGAAAAAGACUAAUCGAAUUUAUAAAAAGAAAACCUUUGCUUCCUUUUGGUUAAAAUCCCUCUGCGGUUUUCUGAGCGUGAAAAACAAAAAAUCAUCACCAUGCAAUAGAGUGUAGCUAAUUCCUGGAACCUAUUAGUAGGAUGUCCAGAAAGCCCCAGCAGGGCUCACAGAUUCCCAUCUUCCAGCUCAAGAAGUAGGACUUUUGGAUCCAGUGAAUAGUAAUCGGUUCUUCUAUGGUAUCUGUUGGGAAUAAGCGUGAGCUCUGCAGAGCCCUGGACUCUGUGUGCAUUUGGGGGUGUGACUGGGGGGGACUGCCAGGAAACUCAUUUUCAUUAAUUAAAGGGAUCUGCUCAAAUGACCCCCCCCCUCCAGGGGCUCCUAGAUGAACUAAUUUAGCAAAUCCCUUGCAACAAACUUACACACACACACACACACACACACUCUCUCUGCUUCUUUCUCCAUCAAAAAGAUCCUUUUUUUAAAGAACAGUAGAACAGUUCAAUAAUUCCCAGAGAGGUGCAUCUUGGUUUUAUAAAAAGCUGUGUAUAGUGAGACCUUGCCUGGGGUGGGCUUCUUUUUGGUCAGCAUUGAGGCGAAUACCUUUUGGUUCCUGUUUACUCAGUCCAAGGGCCACAUGGGGUUCAGAACCAUCCUGGGAUCCUGGCCCUUGUUUGCCUGGCAGCCCAUGAGCAAGGCCAGACUGUCACUCACAUGAUGGGUAAUUUACAAAUCCCACAAGUCUCAGCUGAGCUACGACUUUCUUAGGGCAUAUUUCUCUGUACUGAGAAAGUGCUGUCUCUGAGGGAGAGAGGUGUUUCUUCUUGGGGCUGCAGUGAGUCAGAGUUGCAGCUUGACCCUGUCCCCAUGGUAAAUGUCAAUCCAUCCAUCCUGUGUGGUCCAAACCUGCAUCCUUUAUACCUCCAUAUGCAUAAUGAGAAAAAAAAGGUGGGGGGCAGGGCGGGAGAGAUGGCCCACCCCUCUCUUCUUCGCCUUCUUUCACCUUUUCCAGGUCCAGGGAAUUUUCUAAAUUGUCGUACUGCUAUUUCUUUCUCCCACUGUUCUUCCUCAUCUCUCCAGCUCCAGUUGUAAGUGGAGCUUUACAUUUAAGGGGCUGACAUUUCCCAGUUCCAAUGCCAUGUCUCCUUGCUUCUCAAAACCGAGGCAAUUAAUUAUCUCUUAGGUUACAAUCCUGAACCAUCAACCCCUACCCAUUCAUACCAGGAACUAGCUCCAACUUUUUCUUCCUCUUCUCAGUUAUAACUCUCAUUCUGUCCUGGCCUCCAUUCUUUCGUCCACGUCCCCCCGCCUUCAGAGUCUUUGAUUCUUUGACAUAUAUUAUAACAAAACCCAAUCCUGGGAAGCCUUGCUCAGAAUCUCACUCAGGUUGUAAUGGAUGUAACUUCUGCUUAGAACUUGGCUGAGGGUUUGCUGUGGCCUUCUCCCGGAGCCUGAAAUGGGGAAGAUGCAGGCAAAUCUCUCCUUCUCCAACCCAAACAAACAGAUUUCAGGAGAAUCAGGGUGAAAAUACUUUCCAGGUUUGUUUUUCUUUUCUUGUUCCCUCCUGAACCCUUUUGCCCCUCUGGUUUGGGAGAAAAGUGCUAAGAAAAUCAGCCUCCUAGCUCAGCGUCCCUCCACACUCCCGCCCCCUUGACAACCUGUCCUCUCCGGAUCUCAGAUAUCUGCCACCGACUGGCUUUAUUCCCAAGUCCUACUCCGGCAUUGGAGUCAGGCUAUUAGGGUUCUCUUCGGGGCUCUAUCGUUUGACAGUAUCCUGGGAACGCAGUCCUAGGUAUGUACCCAUGUGGUGAGUAGCUUCAAUCACAUUCAUCUCGCUACCCUCUGUUUCCUGCUCCAUAAAGGAGAGCUAAUGGAGAGGAAGCAUAGGGUUUUAAGAGUGCCCUGUAAGACUCUGCUUUGCCCCUUCCUAGCGGUGCAACCUCAUCAGCUUCCAACAGUUUCUCAUCUGUUAAAUGGAGAUAAUAAUAGUCCUUAUUUCAUAGAGCUCUUGAGGGUUAAAAGAGUUAAUAUGUAUGAAGAAUUGAGACUAGAGGCUGGUAUAUAAUUAGCACAACCUAAGUGUUAACUGGUAUUGUUAUUACCUCACAGGCUUGUUGUGGGGAUCAAAUGAUACUAUAGCUAAAAUAUCACUCUCUAUUCAUUCAUGCAUCUAUUCAUGUAUCUAUUUAUUCAUUCACUCUCCUGAAUCACAUGGGAGGCUUGGGGCUACAACUGGGAAACAAACACUAUCCUUCCUUUCCUUGCUUACAGACAAUGAAUCAAGCAGAUUAUUUCCUGGGAGCAUGUUUUUAUUGCCUGGCUCAGUGUUGGGGCUGAGGGGGAACAGAAUAGGGUAAAACUGUGUGUGAGCUCAGGGAAUUUCUAACAGGAAGUCUCAACUACUAAAGAAAUUUGCAACUAGAGCAGGUGAUGCAUGAGCCCAAGUCCUGUUGGGCAAGUGGGUCCUUUGGGCCAGGGACAGAGAAUCUUCACACUUCUAGAAACUUCCAUGGUGGAUAUGGAAGUGGCCCAUUGCUUGGGCACCAGGCUGUAUGCACCUGGUGGUUUUAUGUGGCUCACAUAUUUGUCUUUUUGAUUGCAUGGAUUCCUCUGUAGAAAACAAAACAAAACAAUAAAACGGGUGCUGUGUUUCUCUGGCCCCCCUGAAAGGUAUAAAUCUCUUUCUCUGUUUACUUAGAACACUUGCAUCUACUCUUUUGCUUUCCAUUUUUGUCAGAUGAUAAACACUAGCCAUGGUCAUUGCAGUAGAGCAUCCUAUAGCCAAAUCAAACAGUUGCGAUGGAAAGCCCUCCUCUCAGCCUGUCCUGCUCCCCCCCAGGUGUGUGUCUUUUCUGGGUACAGAGUCUCUAAUGGCUGCUGCAUGGACCAACUUAGUCUUCGUGUUAUAGCCAGAUAACCAUGUUGUGAGCAAAUGUCAUGUAACAUUUACUGGCAGAACACAAAGUGCUCUUGAGAGCCCCCCCCUUCCCCGCCUGCCCGUGCUUUGAGAUUAAAACACAUUUUAUGGUUAGAAUCUGGAAAAAGAGCGAGAGAGUCUGG
rnacentral:lncRNA from 1 species